AGCGAACGCUGGCGGCAGGCUUAACACAUGCAAGUCGAGCGGGCGUAGCAAUACGUCAGCGGCAGACGGGUGAGUAACGCGUGGGAACAUACCUUUUGGUUCGGAACAACACAGGGAAACUUGUGCUAAUACCGGAUAAGCCCUUACGGGGAAAGAUUUAUCGCCGAAAGAUUGGCCCGCGUCUGAUUAGCUAGUUGGUGAGGUAAUGGCUCACCAAGGCGACGAUCAGUAGCNGGUCUGAGAGGAUGAUCAGCCACAUUGGGACUGAGACACGGCCCAAACUCCUACGGGAGGCAGCAGUGGGGAAUAUUGCGCAAUGGGCGAAAGCCUGACGCAGCGACGCCGCGUGAGGGAUGACGGCC
rnacentral:rRNA from 1 species